CAUCUCGCACACCAUUAGCGGUCAGCUGAGAGGUGGCUGAUCUGUGCCAAGGCCUGCUCUGGGGAGCCAGCGAGGUUGGCCUGUUCAGAGGAGGUGAUCCUUAAAUUGAAUUGCAGCCCUCCAAGGCGUGUUUGGAUGUCAAGCACUGCCAUGAUCUGACAUGUUAAUGGCUUUGAGAAAACAAUGUGUUUCAGAGGCGCACAGAGUUUCUAAGAAAAUUACAUUCCUCAUGCCUGAUAAUCAGCAACAAAGACGACACGCCAGAGGAGUCUCCCACCAAAUGACCCAUGGUUGUCUUCAGAAAGUUCAAGGCCUGAUGAUGUGUUUAUGACUUCAGCGCAGGACCUCCGAUAUCCCAAGGGCAAGUGGAUGGCAUUUCUUUCCUCUCUUGUGGCCUUCGGUUUUGCAGCAGACUAACCAGCCAGGCUUGUCUUCUUCAGUGCAUGGGCUGGUAGUAGGGGAGCUGCUGGCUUAGAAGUGUUUUGGCCUCAAUACUGGACAAAUUUUGUAUUGCUCGAUCAUUGAAAGUGGCUCUGAGCACAGUAAGCUUGACAAAGCUGCUCUGGUUGGGUGAUACCCUUGGCUACGUUGGCAUGAUGACAAGACAACAGUUACUAGUCUUAAUAAGCUCUUAGGCCUACACAGAAGGGAUUUUGAAUAAUAUACAAGCCAAUAAUAGAAUCGUCAAUAGCGAUUAUAAUUACUGAAAUGUGUUGUCAGUAACAGGGGGCUGUUUAGCGGUGCCUCCUUGGCAAUAUGCUCGGGAAGGAAGCUGUGCUGUGGAACUUCAGGUAUGGUGGAGAAUGCAAACCUAGGUGUGACAGGCGUGU